GCCUGGGUAGCUCAGUCGAUAGAGCACCAGACUCCUAAUCUGAAGGUCCAGGGUUCAGGCCCCUGCUUGGGCA